rnacentral:lncRNA from 1 species
GAUGCUGCUAACUCAGUUGUUAAAAAACAUAAAUUGAAGCUUCGGGACCGUGAACUGAGACUGUCUCAUGCCAAUACAAAAUCCACUCCCUCGAAGAGAAAGAAUAUUUCACUACCAGAGACCUACAAUACCCCUGCCAAGAAGUUUGCUGUUGAUUCCAGAUUUUCGGGUAGUGAUAAUAAGGUGAAAGCUAAGGCCAAUACGUCUUACCAGGGUAUGCGGGCAAGCAAAUCUGGCACCCAGAAGAAGGUCCCUGCAAGAGUCAAUGCACCGGCAAAGUCAAAAUCUGGAUCAUCCAUGGAGAAGCCAGUUAAGGGCAAAAGACCAGCAGUGGCUGCUAGAAAGCUAAAAGCACAACG